UGUACCGUCCAUACGCUGUGAUCUGGAGCUGAUCUUGCGCUCCAGAAAAGUGUGAGUGCAAUAUAUUUUUUCCUUAUAUUCUGCCUCUGCUGUUAUAGACCUACUACACUAUAUUAGUAUUCCUGUCCCAUUUUGUUUUCUCCCUUAUAUUGGCUCCAUUGGACUCCACACAAGGACUUUAAUUGUUAUGCCCUGUUUCCCUACAUCCCCGGCUAUAUAGAUACAGCAAUACCUGCCCUUGAGUUACUGAUUUUUGUAGAGCUUUCAAAACCAGGAUUAUUCACUAAAGUACUAAUUGACCCCUUUAAAUAACGCCAUCAUAAAUUAGAAUGCAUCUGAAUAGCAGUUCAUCUUAUUUCUUUGCCCCGUUUAGAGCUCGACAUUGUUUUGGUCAAAUUGCUAGAACACUCUGAUAACAUUUUAUUUUUACCUUAAGAUUUCCAUUUAUUCAGGAUUUCCAUGCUUGGAAUUGUGGGAGCCAAUAAAGACUUGCGCAACACACCCUGGAACCCAGAGCUGAACCUCAGAACAUGUGAUCUGUAUUCUGAUGGCACAACGUUUAUAAUAAAUCCCCAAAACUGACUGAAAGUGACAUCUGUACACGGCAGGUCCAUUUUAU